rnacentral:rRNA from 1 species
GUGGGGAAUAUUGCACAAUGGGGGAAACCCUGAUGCAGCGACGCCGCGUGAGUGAAGAAGUAUUUCGGUAUGUAAAGCUCUAUCAGCAGGGAAGAAAAUGACGGUACCUGACUAAGAAGCCCCGGCUAACUACGUGCCAGCAGCCGCGGUAAUACGUAGGGGGCAAGCGUUAUCCGGAUUUACUGGGUGUAAAGGGAGCGCAGGCGGUUCUGCAAGUCUGAUGUGAAAGCCCGGGGCUCAACCCCGGGACUGCAUUGGAAACUGUGGGACUUGAGUGUCGGAGGGGCAAGUGGAAUUCCUAGUGUAGCGGUGAAAUGCGUAGAUAUUAGGAGGAACACCAGUGGCGAAGGCGGCUUGCUGGACGACAACUGACGCUGAGGCUCGAAAGCGUGGGGAGCAAACAGGAUUAGAAACCCUUGUAGUCC